GGGCGGGGUUGGCGUCGGUUGAGGGGGCCGCUGCGGGUUUAACGCCUGUGUCGGCGACACCGACAGCGGGAUCGCGCGCGCCCGCAGCGACUUCGCCGACGACAACAACGAGCGAGGAACGAGACUGAGACGAGUACAAAACUGGAAAUAUAUAUUGCUGCUGCAAUUGGUAGAAGCUGUGUGGACGUGGCUUUUGUACACAGGAAACAACUAGACCACACGUGUAGCACCAGCUUCAUGAUCUGAUUCCUGACAGUGACCCAUACCAGAAGCUUUGGCGAAAGGGUUAAAAAUAAAAAAGCCAUUAUAAAGUUC